UAUCAACUGCCUGUUGGUGUUUCUCCUCGGAUGCUGUCGCCGUUUGUGUCUUUUCCAGUGACUCAGCGGUUCCACAGGUGAACCAGUCUCUGGUGUUUCCUCUAAUCACCUUCAGUCGCCGCUUUCUGUCACAUCCGCAGGUCCGGAUACUGGACACACAGGUUCGCGUCCCGUCUCUGGGCAAAGAGAUCAAGCAUGAAAUGCAGACUUACAACCAAAAGCACUCCACACUGUCCAGCCAGUUGAAUGAAUGACUUCUCCUAUCAUCAGAUCCAGGUUUUCAAAAUGAGCGCGUCUUGGAACACCAGGUGAAGCCUCUAUACGGAGAUGAUGGACCUGUACAACGACGAGGACAUGAGUGCAAACAAAGUGAGCUGCAUUUUUCAGCAAACUUGGCCCUGUUUCCUGAGGAGUCCGGUCUGUUCAGCUGAUUUGACCUUGGCCUACUGGGACACUCUGGAGUUCACGGUGAGGCAGAAGACAGUUCAGCAGCUUCGGGAACCCUGGACCGACGAUUCGCUUUCAUGCGGACACCUGCGACAUCCAGCAGUCGAAAAUACACCUCAGCCUGCCUCGCCAGAGCGUCGCUCACCAGAACAGCUCAACGGCUCCCAAUACUGGAAACUAAAUCCCAGAGAGAUUCUUGCUGUGCACGAGUGUGACUUCAAGGUUUGGCAGGGAUCAGACACGUUCCAUAAACUCGCACCAUUUUCAGCACAAAAUCUUUUUACUCUUCUUGCUGAAAGUCUUAGCAGUCCACAUUCAGGCAUUAUUUGAGUCUCUAAAAUCAUAUUGUCGCAAGGUUCAAAGUCAUACUUUUCCUCUCACUUCACUUUGAUGAUAAUCACAUUUCGUGCUUGGAAAUUGUGUAACAACCUGUUUUUCUG